GUGCUUGAUGCUUGAGUUUUCUCCUCAAGGUACAAUUUGAUUUCCAUUGUAUAUUUGAUAAAUUUUUUUUCUUCUUUUACUACUCUAUGCUAUUAAAACCAAUGUUUUUAGAAGACCUGGCCUAAUUUAUGUUGUCAUCAACCAUAUGUUAUAGUAAUGUCUUGAACCCAGAAGGUAAACUUUCAAAACUUGCAACUUCUGGGCAAUUAUACCCUUGGAACUAACUUCUUUUUUUUUAAUAAAAACCUUUUUGCAUGAAAGGAUAAUUUUUAAGUUUUG
rnacentral:misc_RNA from 1 species